AGAGCGAACGCUGGCGGCAGGCCUAAUACAUGCAAGUCGAGCGCACCUUCGGGUGAGCGGCGGACGGGUGAGUAACGCGUGGGAAUGUGCCCUUUGGUACGGAACAACUGAGGGAAACUUCAGCUAAAUACCGUAUGUGCCCUUCGGGGGAAAGAUUUAUCGCCAUUGGAGCAGCCCGCGUUGGAUUAGGUAGUUGGUGAGGUAAAGGCUCACCAAGCCUACGAUCCAUAGCUGGUCUGAGAGGAUGAUCAGCCACACUGGGACUGAGACACGGCCCAGACUCCUACGGGAGGCAGCAGUAGGGAAUCUUGCGCAAUGGGCGAAAGCCUGACGCAGCCAUGCCGCGUGAAUGAUGAAGGUCUUAGGAUUGUAAAAUUCUUUACACCGGGAAGAUAAUGACGGUACCCGGAGAAGAAGCCCGGCUAACUUCGUGCCAGCAGCCGC
rnacentral:rRNA from 1 species